rnacentral:rRNA from 1 species
AGACGAAGGUGGCAAGCGUUAUUCGGAAUCACUGGGCAUAAAGGGCGCGUAGGCGGCCCGGCAAGUUUCGUGUGAAAUCCCUCGGCUCAACCGAGGAACUGCACGAGAAACUGCCGAGCUAGAGUGUUGGAGGGGUGUGUGGAAUUCCUGGUGGAGCGGUGAAAUGCGUAGAUAUCAGGAGGAACGCCGGCGGCGAAAGCGAUACACUGGACAACAACUGACGCUGAGGCGCGAAAGCUAGGGGAGCGAACGGGAUUAGAAACCCCAGUAGUCC